AGACGGGGGAGCGUUGACCGAUGCUCACUCUCUCGUACGAGGACCGAGUAACGAAAAGCACGCGACUUGCGACCGCGAUCCAUUUUUUCGUUCCGAGAACUACAAUACUUUAUAUCGUACUGAGUGUCUCUGUAUGCGUAGGCACAAGAAAUCGCUGAGUUCUGUGCCAAAGUGAAUAAAGUGGUGCGAUUAACAUUUAACAUCAGCUUGUGUCUCUUAAAAAUACUCCUCUACAAUUUCGUUGAAGUGCUCUAAGUCCGAAGCGUUCUUCUGGACCGAGGCAAUACGCGAACAGUAAUUACUUUUUAAAAAUAAUAACGUGGUUAAAUAGAGUUUGCCAAUAAUUAUUUUUAAUAUUUCAAAUCCGGAUUUAAUCAACAAGUACCUGUUAUAAUUUAUAAGCAGAAUUUUUGGAAUUGGAACAAUUAUUUAUAUUAUUUGUGUUUCUCUCUACGUUCUAGUGAAAGAUCGAAUAACAUAACAAAAUGGCGACCGUGUCCAGCAUAUUUAAUAGUAUUUGGGAAAUUGGAGAAGUAACUAAAAUAAUGAACGACAUCGAAAACGCUCUUCAAGGAAGAUCUUUAAACAAUAAAAAAACAGCCUUAAUUAAUUCUAUGAAAGUUUGUGAUGAUAUGCCUAUCAAAACAAAAACAAUAGAACUGUACAUCUAUUGUUUAUCAAAAACACUUGUUAAUAUUUCAACGCCUGUGGAUUAAUUUUCUCAAGAAUUAACUUUUUUUAACUUCAAAGAAUGAAAACUUAUACAAAUCACAGAAGUAUAUUAAACUGUGGAUAAUAUCGAAGUAUUAUUGUCGAAAUACCAUAGAGAAAAAUAUUUACAUGUAUCCUGGCGAUAUUAGUAUUAAAAAAAGAAUAUAUAUUUGAUUUUGUAACAGAAAAAUUCAAAACUUUUAACUUUAACUUUAACGGAGCUUAAAUUAAAAUAUAGUCAGAAAUUAUGGACAAUACACAAGAUUAUAUAUUAACGACAAAUAUCGAUAAAAAGAUAUUAUAGAGUAUACGUUAACUUUGUAAACAAUAAAAUAAUUGUGGCAAAUUAUUCAUCAAAGUUUUUGGAUUUGUCCCACUCAGAAAUAGUUCCUUGAAACGAUGUCGUUUCGAUAUAGAAAAUGCAAGUCAAAACUUUUCAAAAUUUUCAAUAAUUUUGAUGGAUUUUUGACACAAAUUUCGAGAAAUUUUCAACUUUCAUUCAACAUCAAAAUGACAUCGUUUCGAAGGGCUAUUUUUGUUUUCCGAGAACAUACCGUCAAGCACAAAAAAAUAAUUUAUUUUUCUUUUUUUAAAUAAUUACUUCUGACUAGGUAAAAUGAUUUAAAAAUUGAGAUUGUUUUGAUAUUGGUUCGACAUAGGAUUAUUGUUGAAGGUAUUCAACGUUAAAAUAAACAUUUUUUUAA
rnacentral:lncRNA from 13 species